rnacentral:rRNA from 1 species
AGGACGAACGCUGGCGGCGUGCUUAACACAUGCAAGUCGAGCGGAAAGGCCCUUCGGGGUACUCGAGCGGCGAACGGGUGAGUAACACGUGAGCAACCUGCCCUUAGCUUUGGGAUAACCCUCGGAAACGGGGGCUAAUACCGAAUGUUCACUGUCGGAUGCAUGUUUGACGGUGGAAAGUUUUUUCGGCUAGGGAUGGGCUCGCGGCCUAUCAGCUUGUUGGUGGGGUAAUGGCCUACCAAGGCGACGACGGGUAGCCGGCCUGAGAGGGCGACCGGCCACACUGGGACUGAGACACGGCCCAGACUCCUACGGGAGGCAGCAGUGGGGAAUAUUGCACAAUGGGCGAAAGCCUGAUGCAGCGACGCCGCGUGAGGGAUGACGGCCUUCGGGUUGUAAACCUCUUCAGCUCCGACGAGCGCAAGUGACGGUAGGAGCAGAAGAAGCGCCGGCCAACUACGCGCCAGCAGCCGC